rnacentral:tRNA from 2 species
GGGCCGCUAGCUCAACUGGCAGAGCAACUGACUCUUAAUCAGUAGGUUCACGGUUCGAUUCCGUGGCGGCUCA